rnacentral:rRNA from 1 species
GACGAACGCUGGCGGCGUGCUUAACACAUGCAAGUCGAACGGAAAGGCCCUGCUUUUGUGGGGUGCUCGAGUGGCGAACGGGUGAGUAACACGUGAGUAACCUGCCCUUGACUUUGGGAUAACUUCAGGAAACUGGGGCUAAUACCGGAUAGGAGCUCCUGCUGCAUGGUGGGGGUUGGAAAGUUUCGGCGGUUGGGGAUGGACUCGCGGCUUAUCAGCUUGUUGGUGGGGUAGUGGCUUACCAAGGCUUUGACGGGUAGCCGGCCUGAGAGGGUGACCGGCCACAUUGGGACUGAGAUACGGCCCAGACUCCUACGGGAGGCAACAGUGGGGAAUAUUGCACAAUGGGCGGAAGCCUGAUGCAGCAACGCCACGUGCGGGAUGACGGCCUUCGGGUUGUAAACCGCUUUCGCCUGUGACGAAGCGUGAGUGACGGUAAUGGGUAAAGAAGCACCGGCUAAAUACGUG